rnacentral:rRNA from 1 species
UACAGAGGUCUCAAGCGUUGUUCGGAUUCAUUGGGCGUAAAGGGUGUGUAGGUGGCGCCGUAAGUCGGGUGUGAAAUUUCGGAGCUUAACUCCGAAACUGCAUUCGAUACUGCGGUGCUUGAGGACUGGAGAGGAGACUGGAAUUCAUGGUGUAGCAGUGAAAUGCGUAGAGAUCAUGAGGAAGACCAGUGGCGAAGGCGGGUCUCUGGACAGUUCCUGACACUGAGACUCGAAGGCCAGGGGAGCAAACGGG